AUUGAACGCUGGCGGCAGGCCUAACACAUGCAAGUCGAACGGUAACAGGAAACAGCUUGCUGUUUCGCUGACGAGUGGCGGACGGGUGAGUAAUGUCUGGGAAACUGCCUGAUGGAGGGGGAUAACUACUGGAAACGGUAGCUAAUACCGCAUAACGUCGCAAGACCAAAGAGGGGGACCUUCGGGCCUCUUGCCAUCGGAUGUGCCCAGAUGGGAUUAGCUAGUAGGUGGGGUAACGGCUCACCUAGGCGACGAUCCCUAGCUGGUCGGAGAGGAUGACCAGCCACACUGGAACUGAGACACGGUCCAGACUCCUACGGGAGGCAGCAGUGGGGAAUAUUGCACAAUGGGCGCAAGCCUGGUGCAGCCAUGCCGCGUGUAUGAAGAAGGCCUUCGGGUUGUAAAGUACUUUCAGCGGGGAGGAAGGGAGUAAAGUUAAUACCUUUGCUCAUUGACGUUACCCGCAGAAGAAGCACCGGCUAACUCCGUGCCAGCCGCCGCCGUAA
rnacentral:rRNA from 1 species